rnacentral:rRNA from 1 species
UACGGGGGGGGCAAGCGUUGUUCGGAAUUACUGGGCGUAAAGGGCUUGUAGGUGGCCAACUAAGUCAGACGUGAAAUCCCUCAGCUUAACUGGGGAACUGCGUCUGAUACUGGAUGGCUUGAAUUCGGGAGAGGGAUGCAGAAUUCCAGGUGUAGCGGUGAAAUGCGUAGAUAUCUGGAGGAAUACCGGUGGCGAAGGCGGCAUCCUGGACCGACAUUGACGCUGAGGAGCGAAAGCUAGGGGAGCAAACGGG